UACAUGAAGCUGGAAUUGCUAGUAAUCAUAGGUCAGCAUACUAUGGUGAAUACGUUCCCGGGCCUUGUACACACCGCCCGUCACACCAUGAGAGUUGAGAAUACCCGAAGUCCAUGUUAAAGUGGCCGAAGGUAGGCUUGAUGAUUGGGGUGAAGUCGUAACAAGGUAUC
rnacentral:rRNA from 1 species